UGCGCAGACGGUUUCGUAAGUCGGGUGUGAAAUCCCCGGGCUCAACCUGGGAAUUGCAUUCGAGACUGCGAGGCUAGGGUGCGGAAGAGGGAAGCGGAAUUUCCGGUGUAGCGGUGAAAUGCGUAGAUAUCGGAAGGAACAUCAGUGGCGAAAGCGGCUUCCUGGUCCAGCACCGACGUUCAGGCACGAAAGCGUGGGGAGCAAACAGGAUUAGAUACCCUGGUAGUCCACGCCAUAAACGAUGAGAACUAGACGUUGAGAGGGUAAGCCUCCCAGUGUCGCAGCUAACGCGCUAAGUUCUCCGCCUGGGGAGUACGGCCGCAAGGUUGAA
rnacentral:rRNA from 1 species